GUUGUGUUUGCAGCAUAUUUACUGAAAUCAAAAGCUAUUUCAAUCAAAUUUAUAACAACAUUUUAACUUUUUAAACAUUUUAACAGGUCAUGUUACAUUUUAACAUAGGACCCCUUAUUUGAUUGCAGCUUCACAAGUCUUGCAUCCUUGAACUUGUGAGUUUUUGGACAGUUUCUGCUUGAAUUUGUUUGCAAGAUGUCAGAGCUGCUGUUUGGAUGUAAACGGCCUGCCACCCUCAUCUUUUGCUUGAGGAUACUCCAAAGGUUCUCAAUAGGAUUGAGGUCAGGGGAGGAUGGAGACCACACCAUGACUUUCUCUCCUUUUAUCCCCAUAGCAGCCAUUGAUGCAGAGGUAUUCUUUGCAGCAUGAGA